rnacentral:lncRNA from 1 species
UGAUGCUCAUGGAGCACAAAUCCCGUGGCCCCGGCCACCACCGCCGCUCCAACUUCCUCCUUGAUCUUGUGCUCAUGGCUGUGUUCGCUGUCUUUUUUCGCCUCGUGCUUCUCAUGCUGCAACAGCGAAAGAAACCGCGAGGUUGAUUAUACUUUAACUCUAUUUAAUAAAGAAAUGAGAGGAACAUAUAAGAAGAGGAUUUUAUUAAUUACCAGAGCAUAGGCACCGGCUGCAACGGCACCGAGCUCACCGAGAUGUUCAAGGUGCUUGUGGUGCUUCUUCUCUUCCUUGUAGUCGACGACCUCAGAGCUCUCUCCUCCUUCCUUGUGGUGGUGGAAAAGGUGGUGAUGGUGAUGGCCUUGCU